rnacentral:rRNA from 1 species
CGUGUAGGCGGUUGGGCAAGUCAGAUGUGAAAGUCUUCCGCUCAACGGGAGAAGGGCAUUUGAAACUACCCGGCUAGAGUACGGGAGAGGAGAGUGGAAUUCCCGGUGUAGAGGUGAAAUUCGUAGAUAUCGGGAGGAACACCAGUGGCGAAGGCGGUUCUCUGGUCCGAUACUGACGCUGAGACGCGAAAGCGUGGGGAGCAAACAGGAUUAGAUACCCUGGUAGUCCACGCCGUAAACGAUGGGCACUAGGUGUAGGAGGUAUUGACCCCUUCUGUGCCGAAGCUAACGCAUUAAGUGCCCCGCCUGGGGAGUACGGCCGCAAGGCUAAA